AUAUUGCACUUAAAGCUACAAUCCAACACUUACCAGAAAUUAUAUGAUUGUUGUUUCAGGGAAACCAAUCCAGUAGCAGAUACAGAUCUGAUAAAGAUGACAGAAACUACAUAUAUACAUGGCAGUCAUAGGAAACAUACUUCAAACUAUGGAUGUGUAUUAGAAGAACAGACAUUAUGCAUAUAUAAUCACUUGGAAGGGACGUGUCAAUCACCAACUUUAUAUUGUGUUGUGAACAUUUAAUUAACCUGCUGAAUUUCUUAAACUUUUUCCUAUGAUAUUUUCAAUAAACCAUUUUUCAUUCUA